rnacentral:rRNA from 1 species
UACGUAGGUGGCAAGCGUUGUCCGGAUUUAUUGGGUUUAAAGGGCUCGUAGGCGGCCAACUAAGUCAGACGUGAAAUCCCUCGGCUUAACCGGGGAACUGCAUCUGAUACUGGAUGGCUUGAGUUCGGGAGAGGGAUGCGGAAUUCCAGGUGUAGCGGUGAAAUGCGUAGAUAUCUGGAGGAACACCGGUGGCGAAGGCGGCAUCCUGGACCGGUAUUGACGCUGAGGCGCGAAAGCUAGGGGAGCAAACGGG